ensembl:lncRNA
GAUUUUGAACUGCAGUUUAUUAAAGUGCAAGUGGAAAAAGGAUUUUGAAAAAGGAUUUUGAAAUGCAGUUUAUUAAAUUGCAAUUGGAAAAAGGAUUUUGAGAUGCAGUUUAUUAAAGUGCAAUUGGAAAAAGGAUUUUGAAAUGCAGUUUAUUAAAGUGCAAUUGGAAAAAGGAUUUUGAAAUGCAGUUUAUUAAAUUGGAAUUCAAAAAUGAAUUUACAAUUGCAGAAUUUAUUCUACAAUUCAUUAUUUAAGCACAGAAAUUUUUAUUUCGAUGCGCGUGGCUCUUGUGGUCCUCCAUAUUCCUCGGUCUUCCUUUGAGAAACAUCAGGUCAGUUUUUUAAAUGUGAAUUUGUUGUGAAGCAGGAUCAUUACAAUGAAACAGCAAAAACAAACAAACAAACAAAAAAAACUACAAGAAAACUUUUCACCAAAAACAUAUUUUAUAUAUAAGUGCAUUAGUGCAUUUAAGUUUGAAAUGAACUAUGUCAAUACAGGAAUCUUUCGCCCACAAUGUGGAAUUACAAUAUUUAAUCUAAUACAUACACCGAAUGUCCCAAAUGAAACUUCUGACCACAUAUAUGCUCAUAUUUUGGAAUGGAUGGAAGAAGGCAUAAAUGGUCAUGGGCUGAGUUAGGGGGAUGAUGGUGGACUGAUGUAGGGUGGUGGUGCUGGUAGUAGUAGUGAUGGUAGUGGCGGUGGCGGCGUUGGUGGCAGUGGUGACUGGUUGAUGUAGGGUGGUGGGGCUGGCAGUGGUGGUGGCGACGGUGGUGGGGGAAGUGGGAGCUGGUUGAGGCACGGUGGUGGGUUGAUGUAGGGUGGUGGUGAAGGUGGGUUGAUGUAGGGUGGUGGUUCAAGCUGAAAAACAGGACAUUUGAUGAAGGAGCGUGCUUAUUACUGGAUUAAGAAUAGACUCGGACAAGUGAACAACAUGAGCAUCAUCAUCAUCAUCAUGACAUGUCAUAAAUGCAUGAAUACUUACUAUGUAUGGAGGGGGAGGACUGUCAUUUCUUAAGUUGUACACAGGAGGCUGAAAAUACAGUUCAUAAACGUGAAUUACUUCCUCCUCGUCCCGCUGUUGCUCGUCCAGUAUAGGAAUCGUGUACACAGCGGGAGAAUUAUUGUAACUAGAUGAGCAGUAUUGUCCUGGUUCUCUAUUAUAAGUUAGGCAACAAAAUAUGCACACAAGGAUGGCGACAAUCAACACAGGAACCCUGGAAAGAGAAAGACAACUUAAUCAUUAACUAACAUUAAUAAAAUGAGGUGUUCGUAUCAAUCUUGCCCUGAGAGGAAAUACUUACAAAUAAAUAAGAAAGUUGAAGUCCAUCAGAUUUUUCUUUAAAGCUAAGUAAAGUUUAAGAAAAAAGAGCACUUGUCAAAAAAUAAAUACAUUUUCAAUCUCAUUUUUAAUUUAUGAACUUAACUCUUCUUUAUGGAUGUUAUGCAAUCAGGUGUUCACUGUCUAAGUCUUACUAAGGAGAAGUUCAAAGGUAGAUUUUUAUCUUCUUCUACUGUCAGACUACAAUAAAAAAAAUACCUGGAAACACUUUAUACAUAAUAUGGCCUACGACUUAAGCUAUAAUUCCCCUGUAACUACAAGGAAUUUAAUGUAUUUUACUUAAAAUUACAAUGAAAUUACAUUUACCUACAAAUACUUAAAGCUGGGUACAGAAGGCACUCAUUUCCUGUAUAUUUAUUUAGAAAGUUAUGAUUAAACAGUGAUGACUUGGCUCUAUCAUUAUACAGUCACGUAGGCCUGUAAAAGAACAGCUGACUUAGAGAACAUCCAUCAUGCACAUUGACAUAUUGAGUAUUAAAUAAAAAUGUAAAAAGGACAGAUUUAUUCCACUCCAUAACAAGGCCAACACCCCAUAAAAUACAGUGAAUUUACGAUGUAAGACGUGAAUAUAGUGUUUGGUAUUCCACAAAAUGACCAUGACAUUUUACACUACUUUAAAUUACUUAUGCAGUACUUACAUUUACUUACCGUAUAAUCAUUUCUUUGUUUCCUGUAAAAACCUGAUUUGUUGCCCACCUAUUUUAUUCUGUUAUUCCUACCUUUAAGUAUUUGUAGCUUGAUAUAAUUACAUUAUAAUUUAAAAACACUGAUUUAAUUACCGGGGAAUUACACCUUAGUCACAGCACGUAUUAUAAAUUCUUAGCGAUGGUUGUUUAAGGUAAAGCUAAUCAACAUUUACGUUAAAACUUCAUGUAACACAGACGUUUAAUUGUUGCUAACACACUUUACAUCACACCUCAGUACAAAAUUAAACUUCAACAGAAUGUGGAUCAAACGAAGUGGAAGAAUACAGCAAGCGAGGAAAUUUUUUUUUCACUUUGAAUGACAUGUAAUGACAGGCUGUGUGUGACCAGACUUCUCCUCGUGAUAUGGGCCUCGCUCAACAAAAUCCAUUACUAACAGAUUCAUCAAAUGAUUUCCAUUCUUAAAAUAAAGCUUACCUUCAGCUAUAUGCAGGUUAAGCAGAAUGUUGACUUAUAUCAAUGUACAGCCUCAUGGACUUGUUUAAGAAGCAGAAAUCACCUAGAUUGGCGCUACUGACGCAACUUAUCAUCAGUUAUGCUCUUGCUACACAGUAUAUUGACAGCUGCACUGGGCUAAAGUCCACUGCCAUUAAAGGUAACAAUAUGAAGGUGUAAUAAGGAAAGGAAAUCACAUUUGGGGUGGGGGGUGGGGUGGGGGGAUAAGCAGACAAGGGAGAGCAAGAAUCCCUGUUUCAGCUUGUUUUUAAGGAAUGCAGUCGAGGUGUUGUUGAGACAUGUUGGAGGAAUCUGUACAGCGGCUAUCUGUACCAACAGAACUGCCAUUCAACAGGCUUUAAACCACUGCAAGCUCUCGAGCUAAAAAAAAAACAAAAUGUUGAUCUCACAGGCUUGUUCACAGUCUGAGUAACCGCAAGUAAUAUGAGAAGUUAUUCUACCAAGUACAAGACACACUGUAAUGUUACAGUCUUAGGGGAGGUGGGGGAGGUGGGGGAGGCGGUGGCGGCACAUUAACAGAGGUGCCAGUGUUGAGACGUGGUGCUGACAGAAGAGGAGGCGGAGGAGGAAGAGGGGAACCUGAAGAUAUGGGAGGAGGUGGCGACGGGAAGGUGCUUGAUGGGCUUAUAGGUGGUGGAGGGGGAGGGGGAGGCGGGGGGAGAUCUGUGGGCGAGGGGAAGGUGGGCGGAGGGGGGAGGUCAGCGUCCAUGGAGAAAGAGGGAGGCGGCGGGGGAGUAGGCAGGUCGGGGUCCAAACUGGCCGAAGAGGCCGGAGGAGGAGGAGGCAGG